AUUGAACGCCGGCGGCAGGCCUAACUCAUGCAAGUCGAACGAGUGGCGGACGGGUGCCUAAUGUCCGGGACACUGCCCGAUGGUGGGGGAUUACUACUGGAAACGGUAGCUAAUACCGCAUAUCAUCGGAUGUGUCCCGAUGGGAUUAGCCAGUAGGGGGGGGAACGGCUCACCUAGGCGACGAUCCCUAGCUGGUCUGAGAGGAUGACCAGCGACACUGGAACUGAAGCGCGGUCCAGACUCCUACGGGGGAGAGCAGUGGGGAAUAUUGCACAAAGGGCGCAAGCCUGAGGCGGCCAUGCAGCGUGUAUGAAAAACGCCUUAGGGUUGUGGAGUACUUUCAGCGAGGAGGCGUUACUCGCAGAGGAAGCACCGGCUAGCUCCGUGUCAGCCGCCGCGGUAAUUC
rnacentral:rRNA from 1 species